AAGUUAUAUUGGAUAUAUAUGAUUUUGAAAAUCGUUAAAAAGUGUUCGAUUCACUUGUAACUUU
rnacentral:tRNA from 1 species